GCGGUUGUAAGAUUUCUUGGUCUUGCUCAUGUUGAAGAUACUACCUCUUUGACACUAAAAGUUGCAAUUCAGAAAAUGCUUAUGGAAUACAAUUUGACCCUUGCAAUGGUUCAUGGGCAAGGAUAUGAUGGAACUAGUAAUAUGAGAGGUAAUGUUAAUGGCCUGAAAAAACUGAUUAUGGGUGAGUCUCCUUCUGCCUACUAUGUUCAUUGUUUUGCCCAUCCACUACAGUUAACUCUUGUUGCUGUUGCUAAGGAGAGUGGUGAUUGUACUUGGUUCUUUUAGCAGCUUGCACACUUGUUAAAUGCUCUUGGCAUGUCUUGUAAAAAGAUGAGAAUGCUUCGAAUAGCUCAGACUGAAGAACUCAUUGAUGCAUUGGAAUUGGAAGAGAGAAACAGGGAGUGGCCUGAUCAGGAAAUGGGUUUGGGAAGGUCAUGUGAUACACGUUGGGGCUCUCACUUCAAAACUGUGAACCAUGUCAUCUCUAUGUAUGGUGCACUACGACGAGUCCUUCGCAAGAUUGGAGACUAGUACCAUGGUGCGGAGGCACAAGCGGCUCUAUCCAUAGAGACAAUAUUUCGAUCAUUUGAGUUUGUUUUCAUGGCACACUUGAUCCAAGAAAUAUUUGGACACACAGAUGAGUUGUGUAGAGCUUUGCAAAAGCAAGACGAAGAUAUUGUUCAUGCUAUUAAGCUUGUUGGUGACACAAAGUAUUACUUGAAGGCUUUGAGGACCGAUGCUGGAUGUGAUGAUUUUAUCACAAAGGUCACAUCUUUUUGUACAAAGCAUAACAUCAAAGUUGUUGAUAUGGAGGGUCCUUACUUUCCCGUUAGCCGGCCUAAAAAGGGUUUAUGUAAUGGUGCGACCAAUUACCACCACUUCAAGGUUGAUAUGUUUGUGGAUUUCAUUGAUAGGCAAACCAGUGAGCUGAAUGGCAGAUUUGAUGAGGUAAACACGUAGCUACUUUCUUGCAUGGCAGCAUUCUGUCCACUUCAUCUAUUUGCUGCUUAUGACGAAGAGAAGUUGGUUAGGCUUGCUACAAAGUUUUAUGCUUCUGAUUUUACAAGGGAUGAACUGGCAAGACUUCCAUGGCAACUAAACAUGUAUGUUACUAAUGUGCGUAGAGAUAAAAGGUUUCAAAAUCUGAAAAAUCUGUGUCAGCUUUUAGUUAUGCUUGUUGAGACAAACAAGCAUGAACAAUAUCAAAUUGUUUACAAGCUUCUUAAGUUGGUAUUGAUUCUGCCGGUAGCUACUGCUGGUGUUGAAAGGGUAUUAUCUUCAAUGAGCUAUGUGAAGAAUAAGUGA
rnacentral:rRNA from 1 species